rnacentral:lncRNA from 13 species
UGACCCAGUCUGAUGUAAAACUCAGUGUAGUAACGUUGAUAUUUAAUGUUGUCUGAGUACUCUGUUUAACUAGCCCUCUUCCUGUUGCCUUCAUCUCUCUUGCAGCUCAGAAGACCUCCCCUGUCUGUUACCUCUGUAACCAUGAUAACUGCCCAACCGUUGAGUAUGUUUAUGACCAUUUGACUGCUAAUUUGACUCUGUGGUCGCGAGGUAAAAUGGUGGACCUCCCUCCCUGCCCCACCCACUCCCCUCUGUCAUCUGGAGGAUGCUUGGUGUGUGUUGACAACCAGAAGAUCUACGCUGUGUGUGACUCAGAGAUCAUCAAGCCAGUUUUUGAGGGCCAAGGCAACUUCAUGCCUAUCAUCAAAGCCAAUUGCAAAAGCAUUGUUUCAACUGAUUGGACGGAUCCAAAUGUCCCCACUUCCACCCCUGGUGGUACUGGGAGGUUAUCUAAGGAAGAAGAGAUCACUAUUGGCAUUUUAGCUGCUACCCUCUCCUUCCUUGCCAUCCUCGGCAUUGUUGCUUGGCGCUACAAGGACCAGAUUAAGUGUCUUCCAGUGGCCCUUCCAGCGGUCAAACCAGGGGAACCCCAGUGUUAUCCAAAUGAACUGAAGAAAGAGUUUGAUACCAUCAGCCGAGGAAUAGUUGGACCUGCAGGGAAUAGGGGUGUGCCAAGAUUUGAAUCUCAUUUACAUUUACCCUGUUUAGAAAUGUAUUGGAUAUGUCCUAUUUAA